rnacentral:lncRNA from 1 species
UUGGUCUGAGAAAAAAGAUGAAAGGUGUAAAAGAAGAGUGAGGACACUCAAUUUGGGACUUUGGAGGGCUGCGUGUUCACCUGGCGAGCUAGUAACCCGAGCUCUGCUCGAUUCUCCUUCAUCUGGGUUACGAUAAAGCGGUACUUUGACCUGAAAAGGUACGCAACCAUGUUAAAGCUUUACCUUUAAAGAAUGGUAUAACUUCGUUCAUUUAACAUAUACAUCUGUCAAUUUGCCUACCUCAGUUUCGGUCUUCGCUGGUCCGAUAUUCUCAUAAACAUCCGUCAAUUUGGCAUGAUGGUCUCCAGAGCCUUCCUCUUGAUCAUGGCUAAUCUGCAAUUCAAGGACUGCUGGUUCAGUUGAUUGGGGGCAUCACGUUGUUUCAAAUUGACAAUCUGGAAAAGGGAUUAAUGGAUCUACAUCGUGUGAUGAUAUCAAAAUUUAUAAAUUUUCAUAAGAAAAUAAUGGUUGAAGUUGUAUACACAAUCCAUGUCCAAACAUCAUCUAUUGAUGGAGUAUUUUUCCAGUCCAUGUAAAAACAUUUGUCAAGAAACUUGGGUCACUGGGGACACGUCUUAUGACGUGAUUGAACAUACCUCCGUUGACGUCGGAGUACAACUUACCCCAAUUUCGAUAGGUCCAUCCAUAAUAAUCA